rnacentral:rRNA from 1 species
UGGGGAAUCUUGCACAAUGGGGGAAACCCUGAUGCAGCGACGCCGCGUGAGCGAUGAAGCCCUUCGGGGUGUAAAGCUCUUUCGACGGGGACGAUAAUGACGGUACCCGAAGAAGAAGCUGCGGCUAACUACGUGCCAGCAGCCGCGGUAAUACGUAGGCAGCAAGCGUUGUUCGGAAUUACUGGGCGUAAAGAGUGCGUAGGCGGUUUGGCAAGUUUGGUGUGAAAUCUCCCGGCUUAACUGGGAGGGUGCGCCGAAAACUGCCAGGCUAGAGUGUGGGAGAGGGAAGUGGAAUUCCUGGUGUAGCGGUGAAAUGCGUAGAUAUCAGGAGGAACACCUGCGGUGUAGACGGCUUCCUGGACCACUACUGACGCUGAGGCACGAAAGCGUGGGGAGCAAACAGGAUUAGAUACCCUGGUAGUCCACGCCCUAAACGAUACGGACUUGGUGUUGGCCUUUCAUUGGGUCAGUGCCGAAGCUAACGCGGUAAGUCCGCCGCCUGGGGAGUACGGUCGCAAGGCUGAAACUCAAAUGAAUUGACGGGGGCUCAUGAGCUGUUUCCUG